rnacentral:lncRNA from 1 species
AAAAACCCAAACUACCACCACCGUCACUGUUGCCACCACUGCCGCGAACACGCAAACUCAACAACCAUCCACCUCUGUCACUACUGCCCCUUCAUAAACGACUACACCCUCAUCCUCAAACACCCUAUCACCUAUAUUGGCCCCCACCAAAAUUAUCGAAAUGAAACUCCUAGAGCAAUACCCAUCAGAAAUAGCUUACACACAGAUCAACACCCAAUCAUCCGCGCAAACCAAGCAAAUAGUCAAUAUCUGCCAUAAAUACCAAAUCCCAGCACCUAUGAAGUCUGAGCCCCUAACCUAUUAGAGAAAAUAUACUGGCUCCCAAAGGGUGAAUGGAUCGCCAUUCCCAUCUGGGCCAUGAUGUAUGAGAUUCUAUUCCCUCUACAUGAAUUCGCCGUCUCUGAAAGUAGUAUGCCCUUAAGCCAAUCAUAUUGGAUGUGAUAAGCAUUUUUUUGUAAAAUCUUGUUCAUUUAUUAAUAAAAUAAUUUAUUUAAUUAAAGACAAUCUUAUCCAUGUUUAAUUAUUUGAAUUAAAUAAGUGUGAUAAACCUAUAGUUUUGGAGAAAUACUUUUAAAAUUAC